UGCCAAAUUAUCAUGUAUGUGUAUGGUAAACUUAUUGUCAGUAAAUCAGUUUUCAUAGAGUUAUGAAUAAAUCAUAUAUUUUAUAUAAUUUGCUUGUACUGGUGGCGUUUGUAAUUCAAAGAAAAAAAAACAGUGGCUGGUGAAAUGUUUGAGUGGUUGGUAAAAAAUUUAAUUUCCACCCUGGCAAGUACUAGUGGAUUUCAGCUUUUCAGAUAGACCACUGUAUAUUGCAUAUGAUGUUGUUAUUGCAAUUACUGAGAUUUUCUAAUAUCAUGCAGCCCUGAAGUUACCCUUAAAAAGCAGUGCAUUAUUUAAAUGAUUUUAUUAGUGAUGGAUUUAUAAUAAAUUAUUUUGAUAAGGAAAACAGUUAUAUUAUAUUCCACCUUUAAGACGUAAAAGAAAUAA